UACAGAGGGUGCAAGCGUUAAUCGGAAUUACUGGGCGUAAAGCGUGCGUAGACGGUUAUGUAAGUCGAACGUGAAAUCCCCGGGCUCAACCCGGGAACUGCGUCCGAUACUGGAAGGCUUGAAUCCGGGAGAGGGAUGUGGAAUUCCAGGUGUAGCGGUGAAAUGCGUAGAUAUCUGGAGGAACACCGGUGGCGAAGGCGACAUCCUGGACCGGUAUUGACGCUGAGGCGCGAAAGCCAGGGGAGCAAACGGG
rnacentral:rRNA from 1 species